rnacentral:rRNA from 1 species
UACGGGGGGGGCAAGCGUUGUUCGGAAUUACUGGGCGUAAAGGGCUCGUAGGCGGCCAACUAAGUCAGACGUGAAAUCCCUCGGCUUAACCGGGGAACGGCAUCUGAUACUGGAUGGCUGGAGUUCGGGAGAGGGAUGCGGAAUUCCAGGUGUAGCGGUGAAAUGCGUAGAUAUCAUCUGGAACGCCAAUGGUGAAAACAGCUCGCUGGGGGUUUGCAGACGCUGAGACACGAAAGCCAGGGGAGCGAACGGG